ensembl:lncRNA
GAAUGCCUGCUGCUGAUCCCCCAGCCCUUCAACAGCAGCUUCAAGAGCCUCCAGGUGAGACAGAAUAGUUUUAUCAUUAUUUACCUGUUCUUGAAAUUCUUGGGUUACAUUAUAUAUCAUGUGAUUCACCACCAAGGCUGUGUGAAUAGAUUUUGUCAGAGAAACACAUCUGCAAGGGGCUUAUCAUGGCCAUUUGUCUUCUCAAAUUUCCACUCUUGAGUGUAAAUUAAAGAAACAAGUUGAAGAAUGGUCGCAGCAAUUACAAACCAGUACCCUUCAGCAAUUACAAGAAGGCUUUCAAUGGUUUAACCCAAAUAUUUGGUUGUCUGGGUUAAACAUAUGCAUUUGGGUGAUGGACACUAUACUUAUUCUUUUUUGUAUCUGUUUGCUAGGCAUCUGCAGAUGGUUCUGUGCUGCCACCCAACGCAUCUAUGACCAAGGAAGAACGAUAGAAACUUACCUUGCAUUGGAUGACCAGCAUGGUAACACCAAGAGCCUGAACUUCCUCUCGUAUAACAAUAGCUCACUGCAGCCUGGAACGCCUGGGUUCCGGGGAUCCUCCCUCUUCAGCCUCCUGAGUAGCUUGGACUACAGACAUGUGGCAUGAGGUCCAGCUAUUUUUAUUUUUUUUAGUGAUGGGUAUCUUGCUGCUUAGGCUGGUCUGAAACUCCUGGGGUCAAGCGAUCCUCCCGCCUCAGCCUCCCAGAGUAGCUUGGAUUACAGGUGCACACCACCAGGCCCAAGGGCUCUGGGCUACAUUAGGUAUCGCUCCUCCGCCCUUCCCCUCGCCCCAAAUCAGCAGGCAUAAGGCAGCUCAGCGCUUUCUCCCAGCAGUUACCCCAAUGGGAGUCGAAGUGUUCAACAAAGCUGCAAAAUGAAGCAAGGAUUUUCCACACAGGCCCACCCCCUCCACACCCCAGGGCAAGGGGCGCUCCCCUGACUUUAGGACCACGGCCCGCCUGCCAGGGUGUGCCAGCAAAUUCCAACACACUCACACACACACCCCAACCAGAGGUGACCAGAGCAGCAGCCAGCUCCCUGCCACCUGCAGGCGUCAGACCCGAAGACCACCCGCCCGAACUCGGACCAGGAGCCAGAGGACCCCAGCGCAGAUUCCGCAGAGACGACAGCUUCAUCUACCACGCUCCCAGCCCAGGUCCGGACACGAAGAUAUUGGCGACCUCGGCCUGGGUGUUGAAUGAGCUCCAGGAGCUAAAGCAAGCCUGGGGUUAGGUAUCACAGAAAAAUGUGCUGGAGCAGUUAGGAGGAUAGAAAUUUUCAAAUGGCACGAAAUGUCAUAGGAUGACUUCUAUUUUAUCUGCAAUUCCAGAAACUGACCUUUGGUUGUUUUCUGCCUCCGAAAGGAGUUUCAAUAUGCAUGGAUGUGAGUGAAGCCAAAGUGGAAGCCAGUAAGCCUGAUGAAAGCAACUGAUCAGAGUAGCCACUCUGACACCUGCUUCAGUCCUUGAAUACCUUUGUCCUACACAUUCUCCAGUUGGCCUGUUUUCGUUGCCUUUUCUAUGUUUGCAAAGUGAGUUCUGAAUUUUAGGGGGUGAAAAAUGGGAUAAGAAAACCCCAGCUUAUGGAAAUGUCUCAUUAACAGAGAGAAUGUGAUUUCUAAUGGAAAAAUAAAACCAAACAUAC